rnacentral:rRNA from 1 species
AACGAACGCUGGCGGCAGGCUUAACACAUGCAAGUCGAGCGCCCCGCAAGGGGAGCGGCAGACGGGUGAGUAACGCGUGGGAACGUACCUUUUGGUUCGGAACAACUUCGGGAAACUGGUGCCAAUACCGGAUAAGCCCUAACGAGGAAAGAUUUAUCGCCGAAAGAUCGGCCCGCGUCUGAUUAGCUAGUUGGUGAGGUAACGGCUCACCAAGGCGACGAUCAGUAGCUGGUCUGAGAGGAUGAUCAGCCACACUGGGACUGAGACACGGCCCAGACUCCUACGGGAGGCAGAAGUGGGGAAUAUUGGACAAUGGGCGCAAGCCUGAUCCAGCCAUGCCGCGUGAGUGAUGAAGGCCUUAGGGUUGUAAAGCUCUGUUGUCCGGUAAGAUAAUGACUGUACCGGAAGAAUAAGCCCCGGCUAACUUCGUG